CACGCGCGCGCGCGCUCAGAGAGAAACAAAGGGACCCAUCAGCACGGACACACACACACACACACACGCGCGCACACACACAACUUUCUUGUUGUUGUUGUUUAUCCUGCGGAUGCGGAGUGCGCGAGCUCCGGACAGAUCUCUGGAUUUCUUUAUAAGGAGACUCUCUUUCACGGCUACGCUCAACUCUCAGGAUUUUGGAUUACGCUGAUUUGGGAGCGAUUUAUGGAUUUUAACGGAUUACCCACAAUUCUCUUUUCCGAUCCUGGAUUAUUACAUGCCUUGGGAUUAUUGCACCAUGUCUGAACGGACAACAGUGUGGAGCUUCUUAGUCCUGAGGAAUCAGAUGGUUUGGAAUCGGAUCAGAGCUCCAGAUGUGUAACCCUACCAGAUGUUUCUGACUGGGACAGGACAUACCAUCCGUGCACACCAUGGGUGUGUUUACUGCAACUUGAUCAGGAUGAGAUCUUGUUACAAUAGUUUGCUACAAAAGAACCCUGCAGGGGAACCGGUGGUUAUGUAACCAAGCACAAAGACAAGAACCGUGACUGAUCACGACGUGCACGUCGGAGCCCGUCGAGGAAACAGCAGCGAGGUGGAGGAGGAGGAGGAGGAGGAGGAAGAUUCAUCCUGAGUCACUGAGUGAAACUGUGAGCACGCGAAGACAGACGACCUGAAACGAGUCGAAGGCCCCCGGCUGGGAGGUCAGGGGUCAUUAUCGAUUACUCACCCGGCAGGAGCUCACUUGGACGUUUAAAGACUUAGCUACAUUCAUGAUCGACCAGGAAUUUGGCAGACGAUUGCAGUGCAUCAUGGGAAAACUGCUGAACUUCUUAGAAAGGGCAGAAGUCCAUGCCAUGAUGACCUUUGACCUUAUUUUCAGACAUACCCUCAACUUGCUUUAUUGUGCACCAAGGAGCAUGGUGAAGGAUUUUCCUUUCCUUUUUGCCCUUUUUUUUUUAAAAAACAAACAAACAAACAACAACAACAAAAAAACUAAGAUUGACUGAAAGGGCAGCCAAAAAAACGUCAUGAAAAAUCUAAACUAAAAAAAUAAAGUAAACUAAAUAAAUAAAAAGCAGUGCAGUUGAGGGUUUUGCUUCAGGGCCGUAAUGUUUGAACUUGUGAUAUUCUGGUCACCAGCGCAGAAACUAAAUCACUGCAUGACUACAGAUAGAUAUAUUUAAAUCUUUAAGUUAAAUUAAAUUAUUUCAACUUGCUGCAUAAGUAUUAUUAUUUUAUUUAAAUAUUAUUACUUGUCAUGUAUAUUUUAUGCAUUUGUAAACAUAUGAGCAUUCUUAAAUGAUUUAUUUAUCUGUUUGAAAUAUUGAAAUGAAUUCUGUUUUUUAUUUAAGAACCAAUAUUAGAUUAUAUUCAGUUCAUUAUUAGCAUACAUGCUAUGAUCUUGAAAUUAUUAAAAAAUGUAAGAAGUGACAAUAAUCCAAUAUUUUAACUGUC